AAGAGCGGAGCGUGUGAGCAGUACUGCGGCCUCCUCUCGUCUCCGAACCUCGCUCUCACGGCCUACUUUUACCCGCCCGCCUGCUCGGCGCCCAGGUAAGCCCCCGGACGGCCCGGUGGCACGCAAGCGAUGCGCGCCGCCCCUGCUACCCCGCGAGGCGCGCCGCCCAGCCUCUUUUUUCGGCUGCCUGCCCCUCCAGUCCCAGCCCUACGCUGCGGCCUCUCCGGCCCGGGCCUGAGGUCCGGCACGAGUGCUCCUCCCGCGUGCUUCCGCCGCCGGUGGCUUGGACCCGUCGGGGCUGGCGCUGGUGGGGCGCGCCCUUGGCCAGGCUCUGGGAAGGGCGGGGUGAGUUGUUUUGAUCUUCUUUUCACUACUUGCGGCCGAAGCGCCGCCCCUGGAGGCCGUUGGGCCGGCCCGCGCCCUGGGGCUCGCAGUGGUGUUUGCGCUGUGGAUGGAGUGGCGGUGCGGUCCCCUGUGGAGCGCAAACAAGGCGCUUGGUUGGCGCGGGCGCCUGGCUGCCUUCCUCGUGGUGGGGCGUUCGGAGCAAUCGUCGUGGUUCUGGCGAUGGUUGAGACGCCUCGAUUGCGGCGUGUAACUAACACCUUCCACCAUGACCACCUCAGCAAGUUCCCACUUAAAUAAAGGCAUCAAGCAGGUGUACAUGUCCCUGCCUCAGGGUGAGAAAGUCCAGGCCAUGUAUAUCUGGAUUGAUGGUACUGGAGAAGGACUGCGCUGCAAGACCCGGACCCUGGACAGUGAGCCCAAGUGUGUGGAAGAGUUGCCUGAGUGGAAUUUCGAUGGCUCUAGUACUUUGCAGUCUGAGGGUUCCAACAGUGACAUGUAUCUCGUGCCUGCUGCCAUGUUUCGGGACCCCUUCCGUAAGGACCCUAACAAGCUGGUGUUAUGUGAAGUUUUCAAGUACAAUCGAAGACCUGCAGAGACCAAUUUGAGGCACACCUGUAAACGAAUAAUGGACAUGGUGAGCAACCAGCACCCCUGGUUUGGCAUGGAGCAGGAAUACACCCUCAUGGGGACAGAUGGGCACCCCUUUGGUUGGCCUUCCAAUGGCUUCCCAGGGCCCCAGGGUCCAUAUUACUGUGGUGUGGGAGCAGACAGAGCCUAUGGCAGGGACAUCGUGGAGGCCCAUUACCGGGCCUGCUUGUAUGCUGGAGUCAAGAUUGCGGGGACUAAUGCCGAGGUCAUGCCUGCCCAGUGGGAAUUUCAAAUUGGACCUUGUGAAGGAAUCAGCAUGGGAGAUCACCUCUGGGUGGCCCGUUUCAUCUUGCAUCGUGUGUGUGAAGACUUUGGAGUGAUAGCAACCUUUGAUCCUAAGCCCAUUCCUGGGAACUGGAAUGGUGCAGGCUGCC
rnacentral:sRNA from 1 species